AGUAGCUCACAGUUAUGAAGAAUCUGAAGUGAACUUUGGUCAGCCUCUUCCUCGGGGGUCCAUGGAGCUCCUCUAAAGGCUCAUCAAUAUGGUGCAGCACAUGGAAGAAGAAAUAUGGUCAAGGCCAAAGCAAGAAGAUUUGCUGGGAGACUCGCAACAAUCUGCUACCCAUGCUCCUCCAGUGCAAAAGACACAAUGGAGGUACACCAAGGCUGCUUCUGAAAGAGGGAUGUGCUGCU